GUUUGCUGUUGGUGGCAGCCAUAAACUGUGGCCCAGGCAGGCGCACUCCAACUGAGUGUGGACUGAAACCUCCAAAAACUAUGCCCUCAAUACUGGAAAGAACUGGCAUGCACUCCAACUCCAGAAGAAAAACUUGUGAUGAUCCCUGUCUCAGGAAGUACUACAGGUGCAGGAAUUGAACUCAGGACCUCGUGAUUGCCAAGUAGGCACUAUGCCAUGGAGCUACAUCCCUAGCCCAAAUCCGUUCCUCUUAUUCUGGAUCCCUUGGGAGAAGGAGACUCAGCGCUCACCCUCAGGGACCAGAAGCGGGACUCCUGCGGAUCCCUCAGAAACAAGAACUAGUGGAAAGAAAACCCAGGAGCAUUCCUCUUCUCUGCCAGCUGAGUCUCUUCAGGAACCAGGCACACAAAGACUGUGGCUCUGGCAUCAGGGCUGUCCCUGGGCCCCACAAGGUCUGUACUGAGGUGCUGGGUAAGCAGGUGCAGGGCAGAGAGUAAGGAGGGAAGGCCAGGCCCAGCCCAGGGCUGAGCACACAGAUGACCCCAAGCCAAAACCGGGAAGCCAGCUGUGGUGAGCACACCUGCUGCCCCAGCUCUGACUCUGAGAAGCUGAGGCAGGAAGGCCAAAAGUUUGAGCCCAGCCUCUGCAAGUUAGUGAUUUAGCAGUGCCCUAUCUCAAAACAGACAGACAGAAAAGCAAAUGAAAGGCGCUGAGUUCAGU